rnacentral:rRNA from 1 species
CCUACGGGUGGCAGCAGUGGGGAAUAUUGGGCAAUGGAGGCAACUCUGACCCAGCAAUGCCGCGUGAGUGAUGAAGGUAAUUUUAUUGUAAAGCUCUUUUCUUUGGAACGAAUAAAUGACGGUACCAAAGGAAUAAGCCCCGGCUAACUACGUGCCAGCAGCCGCGGUAAUACGUAGGGGGCAAGCGUUGUUCGGAAUGACUGGGCGUAAAGGGUGUGUAGGUGGUUUGAUAAGUUAGAUGUGUAAUACCCAGGGCUUAACUCGGGUGCUGCAUCUAAAACUGUUAGACUUGAGUACUGGAGAGGAUAGUGGAAUUCCUAGUGUAGCGGUGGAAUGCGUAGAUAUUAGGAGGAACAUCAGUGGCGAAGGCAGCCUCCUGGGACGCAACUGACGCUCAUACACGAAAGCGUGGGGAGCAAACAGGAUUAGAUACCCGAGUAGUC